rnacentral:rRNA from 1 species
AGUGAACGCUGGCGGUAGGCCUAACACAUGCAAGUCGAACGGCGGCAUAGUAAGAGCUUGCUCUUACGGGUGGCGAGUGGCGGACGGGUGAGGAAUACAUCGGAAUCUACUUUUUCGUGGGGGAUAACGUAGGGAAACUUACGCUAAUACCGCAUACGACCUACGGGUGAAAGCAGGGGAUCUUCGGACCUUGCGCGAUUGAAUGAGCCGAUGUCGGAUUAGCUAGUUGGCGGGGUAAAGGCCCACCAAGGCGACGAUCCGUAGCUGGUCUGAGAGGAUGAUCAGCCACACUGGAACUGAGACACGGUCCAGACUCCUACGGGAGGCAGCAGUGGGGAAUAUUGGACAAUGGGCGCAAGCCUGAUCCAGCCAUACCGCGUGGGUGAAGAAGGCCUUCGGGUUGUAAAGCCCUUUUGUUGGGAAAGAAAAGCAGCAGGUUAAUACCCCGCUGUUCUGACGGUACCCAAAGAAUAAGCACCGGCUAACUUCGUG